AUGAGGGUCACCACACAGCUCCUGGUGUUGCAGCUGCUCUGGCUUAUGGGUGCCAGAUGUGACAUCCAGAUGACACAGUCUCCAGCUACCAUGUCAGUGUCUCUGGGAGAAACUGUAACCAUCACAUGCCGGGCAAGUCAGAACAUUUACAGUAAUUUAGCAUGGUAUCAGCAGAAACCAGGGGAAUCUCCUAAGCUCAUGAUCUAUAGUGCAAACAGCUUGGAAGAUGGGGUGCCAUCAAGAUUCAGUGGCAGUGGAUCUGGCACACAGUUUUCUCUCAAGAUCAGCAGCCUGCAGCCUGAAGAUAUGGCAACUUAUUACUGUCAACAAUUCAUUACUCAUCCAUUCCCCUUCAGGAAAUAUCAGAACUCCCAGGGAUAUCAACCAAAUAGCACAUAA